AACGAACGCUGGCGGCAGGCUUAACACAUGCAAGUCGAGCGCCCCGCAAGGGGAGCGGCAGACGGGUGAGUAACGCGUGGGAAUCUACCCAUCUCUACGGAAUAACGCAUGGAAACGUGUGCUAAUACCGUAUACGUCCUUCGGGAGAAAGAUUUAUCGGAGAUGGAUGAGCCCGCGUUGGAUUAGCUAGUUGGUGGGGUAAAGGCCUACCAAGGCGACGAUCCAUAGCUGGUCUGAGAGGAUGAUCAGCCACACUGGGACUGAGACACGGCCCAGACCCCUACGGGAGGCAGCAGUGGGGAAUAUUGGACAAUGGGCGCAAGCCUGAUCCAGCCAUGCCGCGUGAGUGAUGAAGGCCCUAGGGUCGUAAAGCUCUUUCACCGGUGAAGAUAAUGACGGUAACCGGAGAAGAAGCCCCGGCUAACUUCGUGCCAGCAGCCGCGGUAAGAC
rnacentral:rRNA from 1 species